rnacentral:tRNA from 1 species
AGUCUUGUAGCUCAGUUGGUUAGAGCACCACACUGAUAAUGUGGGGGUCCGCGGUUCAAAUCCGCGCAAGACUACCA